rnacentral:rRNA from 1 species
AACAGGAUUAGAUACCCUGGUAGUCCACGCCGUAAACGAUGAGUGCUAGGUGUCAGGGGUAUCGACCCCCCUGGUGCCGCAGCUAACGCAAUAAGCACUCCGCCUGGGGAGUACGGCCGCAAGGUUGAAACUCAAAGGAAUUGACGGGGGCCCGCACAAGCGGUGGAGCAUGUGCAUUAAUUCGUCACUAACCGUAGAACCUUACCAGGGUUUGACAUCUCUGGCCAUCCCAUGAAAGUGGGCUUUCCUCGCAAGAGGACCAGAAGACAGGUGUUGCAUGGUUGUCGUCAGCUCGUGUCGUGAGAUGUUGGGUUAAGUCCCGCAACGAGCGCAACCCUCACCCAAUGUUGCCAGCGUGAAAGACGGGAACUCUUUGGGAACUGCCCGUGUAAGCGGGAGGAAGGUGGGGAUGACGUCAAAUCGGCAUGGCCCUUACAUCCCGGGCUUGACACAUGCUACAAUGGCCGUUAACAAAGGGACGCAAGACCGCGAGGUGGAGCCAAUCUCAAAAAUACGGUCUCAGUUCAGAUUGCAGGCUGCAGCUCGCCUGCAUGAAGUCGGAAUCGCUAGUAACCGCAGGUCAGCUAAACUGCGGUGAAUACGUUCCCGGGCCUUGUACACACUGCCCGUCAAGUCACCUGAGUUGUCUGCACCCGAAGCCGAUGGCCUAACCGCAAGGAAGGAGUCGUCUAAGGUGUGGGGAGCGAGGGGGACUAAGUCGUAACAAGGUAACCGUA